rnacentral:rRNA from 1 species
GAUGAACGCUGGCGGCGUGCCUAAUACAUGCAAGUCGAGCGAACGGACGAGAAGCUUGCUUCUCUGAUGUUAGCGGCGGACGGGUGAGUAACACGUGGAUAACCUACCUAUAAGACUGGGAUAACUUCGGGAAACCGGAGCUAAUACCGGAUAAUAUUUUGAACCGCAUGGUUCAAAAGUGAAAGACGGUCUUGCUGUCACUUAUAGAUGGAUCCGCGCUGCAUUAGCUAGUUGGUAAGGUAACGGCUUACCAAGGCAACGAUGCAUAGCCGACCUGAGAGGGUGAUCGGCCACACUGGAGCUGAGACACGGUCCAGACUCCUACGGGAGGCAGCAGUAGGGAAUCUUCCGCAAUGGGAGAAAGCCUGACGGAGCAACGCCGCGUGAGUGAUGAAGGUCUUCGGAUCGUAAAACUCUGUUAUUAGGGAAGAACAUAUGUGUAAGUAACUGUGCACAUCUUGACGGUACCUAAUCAGAAAGCCACGGCUAACUACGUG